rnacentral:hammerhead_ribozyme from 1 species
AUCGAGCUGAUGAGUCCUAAAUAGAACGAAACACGCGUCCUGGAU